rnacentral:rRNA from 1 species
UACGUAGGGUGCGAGCGUUGUCCGGAAUCAUUGGGCGUAAAGCGCGUGUAGGCGGUCCGGUAAGUCCGCUGUGAAAGUCGGGGGCUCAACCUCGGAUGGCCGGUGGACUACUGUCGGGCUUGAGUACGGAAGAGGCGAGUGGAAUUCCUGGUGUAGCGGUGAAAUGCGCAGAGUAUCAGGAUGGAACACCAAUUGCGAAGGCAG